rnacentral:rRNA from 1 species
GACGAACGCUGGCGGCGUGCCUAACACAUGCAAGUCGAGCGAGUGAAUCUCCUUCGGGAGUGAAGCUAGCGGCGGACGGGUGAGUAACACGUGGGCAACCUGCCUCAUAGAGGGGAAGAGCCUUUCGAAAGGAAGAUUAAUACAGCAUAAGAUUGUAGCUUCGCAUGAAGUAGCAAUUAAAGGAGCAAUCCGCUAUGAGAUGGGCCCGCGGCGCAUUAGCUAGUUGGUGAGGUAACGGCUCACCAAGGCGACGAUGCGUAGCCGACCUGAGAGGGUGAUCGGGCACAUUGGGACUGAGACACGGCCCAGACUCCUACGGGAGGCAGCAGUGGGGAAUAUUGCACAAUGGGGGAAACCCUGAUGCAGCAACGCCGCGUGAGUGAUGACGGCCUUCGGGUUGUAAAGCUCUGUCUUCAGGGACGAUAAUGACGGUACCUGAGGAGGAAGCCACGGCUAACUACGUGCCAGCCGCCGCAGUAAAAC